ensembl:lncRNA
GACCUCCCGUUGUCCGAAACGGUCCCCGUUUCUGAUGGCCUGUCCCCGGGAUCGGUCCCGGUAUUGUCCACAGGAUCGGUCCCGCUAAUGUCCCCGUUUCUGGUGGUCUGUCCCCGGGAUCUGUCCCGGUAAUGUCCACGUUUCUGAUGGUCUGUCCCCGGGAUCGUUCACGGUUAUGUCCCCGUUUCUGAUUGUCUGUCCCCGGGAUCGGUCCCGUACCGCCCUCCAUUGGCCAGGCAGCCAACCAGGGCAACGCGGAAGUGACCUGCAGCCAGCGGUUAGCCAAUGGGCGCCCACUACACCAAACCAGAGGGAAACCCACAGAACCAACGUGCUAACCAACAUCACAGCUGAACCCUUUUAAUUCACGUUCUACAACAAUGUUGAUGUCGUGAGGUCCUUUUACUUGACCUCCCUGACCGCCGUAGCCCAGCGGAGCGUCCCGCCCGGGGCGGUGGAGAUGGCCCACAUGCCGGCCCCCAUGACGGCCCCAAAGACGUCCCCUAUGAAGGCCCCCAUGACGUCCCCUAUGAAGGCCCCUAGGUCGUUCCCGAGGUCGGCUCCUAGGACGGCCCCCAGCAGUAAAGUGCGCCCGGUGCUCCCUAGACCAGAGGAGGAGGAGGAGGACGAGGACGAGGAGGCGGAGCUCUGGUUUCCAGAUUGUAAUGAUGAGGAAGAUAAGAAGGGAGGCGGUCCUCUCCAUCCCAGCCUGCCUCACUGUCCACCAAUCAGGGGCACCCCUCAGCGUCCCCAUGGCUACGGUGGCUCCCUGGGCUUCAAGCUGAACGGUGUGCCGGUGGAGCCUCAGGCAGGGGGCCCGGCUGACCUGCUGCUGGUGCACACGGGGGGCCCCUGUGGCUUCACCUCCCUACUGGUCUCCCCCCCCCCCUCCUCUUCCCCUCCUCCUUCUACCCCCUCUCCACUGCUCCUCCAACCAGAGCCCACGCCCAUCAUCACAGGCGUGCUGUGUGGGGAGGCCGCAAAGAGGGUGCUGAGCGACUGUCAGGUCCCAGAGUCAGGCCCCCAGGAUGGGGUCGGUCUUCAGGAAAGCCCCUGGUCCCCAACUGGCCACCAUCAUCCUUUCAAAAAGACCCUGUGUUUAAGGGGCGGCGGCCAGCUCCGCAGACCUCGCCGCUGUUCCCACUGCGGGUCUCCCUUCCUCCUCGUCAGGAAGCUGAGGGGCUUCAUGUGUGCCUGCAGUAAUCAGAUCUCUGAGAGUCUGAAGAUCCACAAGAUCCACGUCCGGCGGUGGUCCUCCACCACCAGGACCCGGUCCUCCACCACCAGGACCCGGUCCUCCACCACCGGGACCCGGUCCUCCACCGGCCCCCCGGACCCCCUGGGCCCCCCGCAGACCGGCCCCCUCAGCCCCCCAAGACCCCAGACCCCCAGGCGGGG